rnacentral:rRNA from 1 species
CACGUAGGGCGCGAGCGUUGUCCGGAAUUAUUGGGCGUAAAGAGCUCGUAGGCGGCCUGUUGCGUCCGCUGUGAAAGCCCGGGGGCUUUAACCCCGGGUCGGCAGUGGAUACGGGGCAGGCUAGAGGUAGGUAGGGGAGAAUGGAAUUCCCGGUGUAGCGGUGAAAUGCGCAGAUAUCGGGGAGGAACACCGGUGGCGAAGGCGGUUCUCUGGGCCUUACCUGACGCUGAGGAGCGAAAGCGUGGGGAGCGAACAGG